rnacentral:rRNA from 1 species
AUGGUGGCAUGCGCCAAAGGUCUUGGUGUGCCCCGUCGAUCUGGGAUGUUUAGGCAAGCGCUCCAAGCUGUCACAUUCUCCGACAAGGAGAAGAUUGCCGCUAAAGUGGAGUUCUUGAAGAAGACAUUUAGGUGGUCCGAUGCCGAGGUGGGCAUUGCUGUUUCUAAGGUUCCAGGGGUGCUGACCAAGUCGAAUGACAUGCUGCAGAACAGGUCCGAGUUCCUCAUCUCCGAGGUGGGGUUGGAACCUGGGUACAUUGCUUAUCGCCCAGCAAUGCUCACUUACAGCCUGGAAGGCCGGAUGAGACCCCGGUACUAUGUUGUAAAGUUUCUCAAGGAAAAUGGAUUGCUCAAGCGUGACCCGAGCUACUUUACCGUUUUCAAGGAGUCCGAGAAGGCAUUCAAGAAGAUGUUCAUACACCCUCAUAAGGAAGCUGCACCGCACCUUGGGAAAGACUAUGAUGCUGCUUGCAAAGGGGAAGUGCCCACUAAUUUCAGAUUCACAUAA